rnacentral:rRNA from 1 species
GCUAGUCGAGCGGACGAAGGGAGCUUGCUCCCGGAUGUUAGCGGCGGACGGGUGAGUAACACGUGGGUAACCUGCCUGUAAGACUGGGAUAACUCCGGGAAACCGGAGCUAAUACCGGAUAGUUCCUUGAACCGCAUGGUUCAAGGAUGAAAGACGGUUUCGGCUGUCACUUACAGAUGGACCCGCGGCGCAUUAGCUAGUUGGUGGGGUAAUGGCUCACCAAGGCGACGAUGCGUAGCCGACCUGAGAGGGUGAUCGGCCACACUGGGACUGAGACACGGCCCAGACUCCUACGGGAGGCAGCAGUAGGGAAUCUUCCGCAAUGGACGAAAGUCUGACGGAGCAACGCCGCGUGAGUGAUGAAGGUUUUCGGAUCGUAAAGCUCUGUUGUUAGGGAAGAACAAGUGCGAGAGUAACUGCUCGCACCUUGACGGUACCUAACCAGAAAGCCACGGCUAACUACGUGCCAGCAGCCGCGGUAAUACGUAGGUGGCAAGCGUUGUCCGGAAUUAUUGGGCGUAAAGGGCUCGCAGGCGGUUUCUUAAGUCUGAUGUGAAAGCCCCCGGCUCAACCGGGGAGGGUCAUUGGAAACUGGGAAACUUGAGUGCAGAAGAGGAGAGUGGAAUUCCACGUGUAGCGGUGAAAUGCGUAGAGAUGUGGAGGAACACCAGUGGCGAAGGCGACUCUCUGGUCUGUAACUGACGCUGAGGAGCGAAAGCGUGGGGAGCGAACAGGAUUAGAUACCCUGGUAGUCCACGCCGUAAACGAUGAGUGCUAAGUGUUAGGGGGUUUCCGCCCCUUAGUGCUGCAGCUAACGCAUUAAGCACUCCGCCUGGGGAGUACGGUCGCAAGACUGAAACUCAAAGGAAUUGACGGGGGCCCGCACAAGCGGUGGAGCAUGUGGUUUAAUUCGAAGCAACGCGAAGAACCUUACCAGGUCUUGACAUCCUCUGACAACCCUAGAGAUAGGGCUUUCCCUUCGGGGACAGAGUGACAGGUGGUGCAUGGUUGUCGUCAGCUCCUGUCGU